ACGGAGGGUGCAAGCGUUGUUCGGAAUUACUGGGCGUAAAGGGCGCGUAGGCGGUUUUUUAAGUCAGAUGUGAAAACCCAGGGCUUAACUGUGGGAGUGCAUUUAAAACUGGAGAACUUGAGUACCAGAGAGGAAAGUGGAAUUCCUGGUGUAGCGGUGAAAUGCGUAGAUAUUGGGAGGAACACCGGUGGCGAAGGCGACUUACUGGCUGGAUACUGACGCUGAGGCGCGAAAGCGUGGGGAGCAAACAG
rnacentral:rRNA from 1 species